GGAUCUAUUAAAUGCUGGCAAGAACUCUCUAGGAAGAGAAGUGGGGAAUACAAAUUGAUGCAAGCCUGUGCACUCCCUUCCUAGAGAACAUCUGGAUUAAAUAUCGACUUCAGUAUGGGACCAUGGAUGUGACCUCCUUUUUCUCUAUCAGGCCUGCUAGAACCUCUUCAGGCACCAAUCAGACUGGGAGGAUUCUUGGAACUGGUUGUCAAAUCAAGAUAUUAUCCCAUCCCUAUGGAUCCCGCAAGCCUGGAACCAACAUCUGUUUUAUAUAUGAGGAAACCGAGGCCCAGGGAGGCGAAGUGCCUUGUAAAGGAUCACACGCUGGCCUGCUGCAGAGCCAAGGCUCCCAGUCUAGAGAAUCCAGACCCCUCCUCUAGGUGCUUAUUCCUUCCUUCACCAGCCAGCCAUGGUGCCAGGAAAAGGGCACAGGGCAUGGAGGCCGACAAUGGUAAUCUGCCACCCUGUUGGGAACUGCGGCCCAUAAGUGUGCUGAGUGUGGUGUUAUGGUUUGUGUCUAGAUGUCCCUCUAAAGCCUCAGGAUUUCAUAGGGUUUUUUCAGAGGUGGCUGAAUCUGCAGGGUGUGAUUGAUUCACAGUGCAGUGCUGGGAUUGGGUGUGAGUGCUACACCCAUCCGAGGGCAGGUGGCCUGCACACAAUGAAGGGACAGAAAGAGGCCUGUCUCUUUCUUCCUUGUUGCUUUUGCUGUCUUUUACACCAUGAGCUGUUUUUUGCCCAGCCACCCUGCCUUGGAGCCAGUAAAUUAUGUACUGAAACCUCUGUGUACUGUGAGUGAAAUAAACCUUCCCUUCUUUAACUUAGGGUGUGUGGUAUCUCAGUAACAAGAGAAGUAGCUAAGACAUGUGGCAACAGGAGAGGACUGGGGUGCCAGGCCAGGGAGGAGGAAGAGGAUGUCGUGGAAAGUGAUAUAUCCUAAUGUUGUCCCACCUAAUGUUGUAAGUGAUCUGGCCACUGCAUGACCUCAGAGCUGUUUGUAUGAGCAGUUUUGAGUCCUUCCCUGCCUAGGACAGAUCAUACCAUCUUUAUGCUUGCUUAGCUACUAGAUAGCUAAGUUAGGUAGAAAUGUUACAGGCAGUCAAACAGGGUUAGGCUCUCAAGAGUCAGUACAGAAGAUGAAAAUACAUUAAAACCGUGGGAAAUACACAUCUGUCAAAGGUCAAAUCUCAAGACAAAAGACAGAAUGACUACAUCAACAUACUUAUCCUUAGUGAGGAAAGAAGUGAUUGAUAUUCUAAAUAGGUAUGAUCACCUUGGGUGGGGGGCCAGGAAGAGUCACUGAAUCAAUCACUCCUUCCAGAAAAAGUCCCUGUUCCUUCCAUGGACAUUUGCUACGAGACUUGCUUCCCCAUUUCAUCCUGAUUUAAUCAAUAUUACUGAUGUGAUUAUAGUCAUAACCUUAUUGGUUCAUCAUAGUUUUGUCCCACCUCAUACUCAUUUUGUGAUUUCCUAUUGGAUCAAUGUUACUUAAGUGACUAUACUUAAUUAAUCUUAUUAAUUGAUUAUAGUUUUUGCCACCAUAGAUCUACCUCAACUCAUAAUUUUGCUCUAUAAAACUCCCUUGAGAAGCAAGGUCCUCAGUAACCCACUCGGGAACCCUUCUGUCAGGACUCUGUCUGUGUUUCUUAGACACAAGCUUUUCCCUCCCAAUAAAUAUACUUUCUUUCCCCAGUAAAUAUUUGCUGCUCUAAAUCUCCAUUGCUCCUAGAAUUCAUUUUUUUGAUUUUAGAGGACACGAACUCAGUGUAUAUUUCCCUUACAUUAUUUGGAUUAUUUGGUGGUUGCAUAUCAUCCCUGUGUCACUUGGAGGUCCCACUGAGAUAACUGGUUUGUUUCAUAGAUUCUGGACUGUGACUCAUUGAGGUAAUCAAAAUUUUUUUAUGUUUAAAAUUUUUAUCUAUAUCUUCAUCAGUUUCUUAUAACUGU